GUGGCAAAUUUGGACUUCACUCAGAGAGAGAUUCGAGCUGAGCCAUUAGAGAGUGGAGAGCAAAGUGACCCAAUCCAACUUUCAUUUUAAAAGGAUCCCUCUGACUGCCAAGUUGAGAAUAAAUUAUAGAGGGCAAGAGUAGAACUGGAAAGAACAGUUUCAAACUAUGUGAAGAAUCCAGACGGGAGAAGAUUUCAACAUGGACAAGGACAAUCUAGCCACAGAUCUGAUAACUACCCAACUUUCAAAGUAAUGGUGAACAAGAUUUCACAAUAUCUGCAGAAUCUAAAGGUGAUAAGAAAAUAACUGAUAUCUGUGGGAGCCGGGAUCACAGGUGUAGUGAGCCCCUGAGUUCUGGCCAGACCUGUUCCAGACAUCUUUGCAGGUGGAAGAACCACAGGGUGGAAGAAAACGGUAUUCCAGAAUAACCGCGGUAGGCAGCAG